GGCCAAGUUGUUAAGGGCACACGGUGGAUGCCUGGGCACCAGGAGCCGAUGAAGGACGUAGGAGGCUGCGAUAAGCCUCGGGGAGCUGUCAACCGAGCGUUGAUCCGAGGAUUUCCGAAUGGGGGAACCCCGCACCAGUCAUGUGGUGUGACCCGCGCCUGAACACAUAGGGCGUGUGGAGGGAACGUGGGGAAGUGAAACAUCUCAGUACCCACAGGAAGAGAAAACAACAGUGAUUCCGUGAGUAGUGGCGAGCGAAAGCGGAAGAGGCUAAACCGAUCGCAUGUGAUAGCCGGCAGGCGUUGUGUGGUCGGGGUCGUGGGACAGUUCAGUCGCUCCUGCCGGGGUGACGGGGAGUUAUAAAAGACUUGUGUUAGUGGAAGGCCUCUGGAAGGGGUCGCCGUAGAGGGUGAGAGCCCCGUACACGAAAACUCAGUCUCUCCCGAGCUUGUUUCCCAAGUAGCACCGAGCCCGUGAAAUUCGGUGUGAAUCUGGCGGGACCACCCGCUAAGCCUGAAUACUCCCUGGUGACCGAUAGCGGACAAGUACCGUGAGGGAAAGGUGAAAAGUACCCCGGGAGGGGAGUGAAAUAGUACCUGAAACCGUGUGCCUACAAGCCGUGAGAGCCUUAUGCCCUUCGGGGUGGGGGUGAUUGCGUGCCUUUUGAAGAAUGAGCCUGCGAGUUAGCGGUACGUGGCGAGGUUAACCCGUGUGGGGUAGCCGUAGCGAAAGCGAGUCCGAACAGGGCGAAUCAGUCGCGUGCUCUAGACCCGAAGCCGAGUGAUCUACCCAUGGCCAGGUUGAAGCGCGGGUAAGACCGCGUGGAGGACCGAACCCACCAGGGUUGAAAACCUGGGGGAUGAGCUGUGGGUAGGGGUGAAAGGCCAAUCAAACUCGGUGAUAGCUGGUUCUCCCCGAAAUGCAUUUAGGUGCAGCGUCACGUGUUUCUUGCCGGAGGUAGAGCACUGGAUGGCCGAUGGGCCCCACAAGGUUACUGACGUCAACCAAACUCCGAAUGCCGGUAAGUGAGAGCGUGGCAGUGAGACUGCGGGCGAUAAGGUUCGUAGUCGAGAGGGAAACAGCCCAGAUCAUCGGCUAAGGCCCCUAAGCGUGUGCUAAGUGGAAAAGGAUGUGGGAUCGCAGAGACAACCAGGAGGUUGGCUUAGAAGCAGCCACCCUUGAAAGAGUGCGUAAUAGCUCACUGGUCAAGUGGUUCCGCGCCGACAAUGUAGCGGGGCUCAAGCACACCGCCGAAGCCGUGGCAUUCACACGUUAGCCCGCCGGUACCUUUCGGGGUGCCGGCCAGGUGUGUGGAUGGGUAGGGGAGCGUCGUGUGGCGGUGGAAGCGGCGGAGUGAUCCAGCCGUGGACGCCACACGAGUGAGAAUGCAGGCAUGAGUAGCGAGAGGGGAGUGAGAACCUCCCCCGCCGGAAGACCAAGGGUUCCUGGGCCAGGCUAAUCCGCCCAGGGUGAGUCGGGACCUAAGGCGAGGCCGACAGGCGUAGUCGAUGGACAACGGGUUGAUAUUCCCGUACCCGCGAAGGAACGCCCAUGCUGAACCCAGCGAUGCUGACCCACCGACGCCGGUGCGCCCACUUGUGGGCNNNNNNNNNNNNNNNNNNNNNNNNNNNNNNNNNNNNNNNNNNNNNNNNNNNNNNNNNNNNNNNNNNNNNNNNNNNNNNNNNNNNNNNNNNNNNNNNNNNNAUCCGGACUAGCUGGGGACCCGGACUGGUAGUAGGCAAGCGAUGGGGUGACGCAGGAAGGUAGUCCUACCGGUGAGUGGUAGUACCGGUGCAAGGGUGUGGCCCGUGGGGUAGGUAAAUCCGUCCCACACGAGGGUGAGGCCCGACGCAUAGCCGAAUGAGGCGAAUUGGAUGAUCCUAUGCUGCCGAGAAAAGCCUCUAGCGAGUUCCGAGCGGCCCGUACCCCAAACCAACUCAGGUGGUCAGGUAGAGAAUACCGAGGCGAUCGAGCGAACUGUGGUUAAGGAACUCGGCAAAAUGCCCCCGUAACUUCGGGAGAAGGGGGGCCAUCUACUGUCAUCAUCCUUGCGGUGGGCAGCGGUGGGUGGCCGCAGAGACCAGUGAGAAGCGACUGUUUACUAAAAACACAGGUCCGUGCGAAGUCGUAAGACGAUGUAUACGGACUGACGCCUGCCCGGUGCUGGAACGUUAAGGGGACGGGUUAGUGCACAUCGUGCGCGAAGCUCAGAACUCAAGCGCCAGUAAACGGCGGUGGUAACUAUAACCAUCCUAAGGUAGCGAAAUUCCUUGUCGGGUAAGUUCCGACCUGCACGAAUGGCGUAACGACUUCUCAGCUGUCUCAACCACAGGCUCGGCGAAAUUGCACUACGAGUAAAGAUGCUCGUUACGCGCGGCAGGACGGAAAGACCCCGGGACCUUUACUAUAGCUUGAUAUUGGUGUUCGGUUCGGCUUGUGUAGGAUAGGUGGGAGACUGCGAAGCGGGCACGCCAGUGUUCGUGGAGUCGCCGUUGAAAUACCACUCUGGUCGAAUUGGAUGUCUAACCUCGGUCCGUGAUCCGGAUCAGGGACAGUGUCAGGUGGGUAGUUUAACUGGGGCGGUUGCCUCCCAAAAUGUAACGGAGGCGCCCAAAGGUUCCCUCAGCCUGGUUGGCAAUCAGGUGUCGAGUGCAAGUGCACAAGGGAGCUUGACUGCGAGACCGACGGGUCGAGCAGGAGCGAAAGCUGGGACUAGUGACCCGGCACCGGCAUGUGGAAGCGGUGUCGCUCAACGGAUAAAAGGUACCCCGGGGAUAACAGGCUGAUCUUCCCCAAGAGUCCAUAUCGACGGGAUGGUUUGGCACCUCGAUGUCGGCUCGUCGCAUCCUGGGGCUGGAGUAGGUCCCAAGGGUUGGGCUGUUCGCCCAUUAAAGCGGUACGCGAGCUGGGUUUAGAACGUCGUGAGACAGUUCGGUCCCUAUCCGCCGCGCGCGUAAGAGACUUGAGAAGAGCUGUCCCUAGUACGAGAGGACCGGGACGGACGAACCUCUGGUGUGCCAGUUGUACCGCCAGGUGCACUGCUGGUUAGCUACGUUCGGCAGGGAUAACCGCUGAAAGCAUCUAAGCGGGAAGCUCGCUUCAAGAUGAGGUCUCUCACCGGGUCAACCGGGUAAGGCCCCCGCCCAGACCAGCGGGUUGAUAGGCCGGAAGUGGAAGCACCGCAAGGUGUGGAGCUGACCGGUACUAACAGGCCGAGGGCUUGACCAC
rnacentral:rRNA from 1 species